AGAAUCAACGCUGGCGGCGUGCCUAACACAUGCAAGUCGAACGAGAAAGUGGAGCAAUCCAUGAGUAAAGUGGCGACCGGGUGAGUAACACGUGACUAACCUACCUUUCAGUGGGGAAUAACCUCGGGAAACCGGGGCUAAUACCGCAUAAUGUCUUCGGACCAAAGGAGCAAUUCGCUGAAAGAGGGGGUCGCGGCCGAUUAGCUAGUUGGCGGGGUAACGGCCCACCAAGGCAAUGAUCGGUAGCCGGCCUGAGAGGGCGCACGGCCACACUGGAACUGAAACACGGUCCAGACUCCUACGGGAGGCAGCAGUGGGGAAUUUGCGCAAUGGGGGAAACCCUGACGCAGCAACGCCGCGUGGAGGAUGAAGCCCCUUGGGGUGUAAACGUCCUUUCGAUCGGGACGAUUAUGACGGUACCGGAUGAAGAAGCGACCGGCUAACUCUGCGCCAGCAGCCGAC
rnacentral:rRNA from 1 species